UGGGGAAUAUUGCACAAUGGGCGAAAGCCUGAUGCAGCAACGCCGCGUGAGCGAAGAAGGCCUUUGGGUCGUAAAGCUCUGUCCUCGGGGAAGAUAAUGACGGUACCCAUGGAGGAAGCCCCGGCUAACUACGUGCCAGCAGCCGCGGUAAUACGUAGGGGGCGAGCGUUAUCCGGAAUUAUUGGGCGUAAAGAGUGCGUAGGUGGUUCUUUAAGCGUGAGGUGAAAGGCAAUGGCUUAACUAUUGUAAGCCUUGCGAACUGGAGAACUUGAGUGCAGGAGAGGUAAGUGGAAUUCCUAGUGUAGCGGUGAAAUGCGUAGAUAUUAGGAGGAACACCAGUGGCGAAGGCGGCUAACUGGACUGUAACUGACGCUGAGGCGCGAAAGUGUGGGGAGCAAACA
rnacentral:rRNA from 1 species